rnacentral:rRNA from 1 species
AGAGAUGCAUUGGGCGUAAAGCGUGCGCAGGCGGUUUUGUAAGACAGAGGUGAAAUCCCCGGGCUCAACCUGGGAACUGCCUUUGUGACUGCAAGGCUGGAGUGCGGCAGAGGGGGAUGGAAUUCCGCGUGUAGCAGUGAAAUGCGCAGAUAUGCGGAGGAACACCGAUGGCGAAGGCAAUCCCCUGGGCCUGCACUGACGCUCAUGCACGAAAGCGUGGGGAGCAAACA